GACGAACGCUGGCGGCGUGCCUAAUACAUGCAAGUCGAACGCUUCUUUCCUCCCGAGUGCUUGCACUCUAUUGGAAAGAGGAGUGGCGGACGGGUGAGUAACACGUGGGUAACCUACCCAUCAGAGGGGGAUAACACUUGGAAACAGGUGCUAAUACCGCAUAACAGUUUAUGCCGCAUGGCAUAAGAGUGAAAGGCGCUUUCGGGUGUCGCUGAUGGAUGGACCCGCGGUGCAUUAGCUAGUUGGGGAGGUAACGGCUCACCAAGGCCACGAUGCAUAGACGGCCUGAGAGGGUGAUCGGCCACACUGGGACUGAGACACGGCCCAGACUCCUACGGGAGGCAGCAGUAGGGAAUCUUCGGCAAUGGACGAAAGUCUGACCGAGCAACGCCGCGUGAGUGAAGAAGGUGUUCGGAUCGUAAAACUCUGUUGUUAGAGAAGAACAAGGACGUUAGUAACUGAACGUCCCCUGACGGUAUCUAAACAGAAAGCCACGGCUAACUACGUG
rnacentral:rRNA from 1 species